rnacentral:rRNA from 1 species
ACGAACGCUGGCGGCGUGGAUAAGGCAUGCAAGUCGUGUGGGUUCAGACCCACGGCGAACGAGGUAGUAAUACGUAGGUACUUACCUCAAAGACGGGUAUAAUCAGCCGAAAGGUUGGAUAAUUCCCGAUAGUCUCCGAGACGCAAGUCGAGGAGUAAAGGAGCAAUCCGCUUUGAGAAAGGCCUGCGGGCUAUCAGCUAGUUGGUAAGGUAACGGCUUACCAAGGCGAUGACGGCUAGGGGGGGUGAGAGCCCGUUCCCCACCGAUGGUACUGCGACACGGACCAUACACCUACGGGUGGCUGCAGUCGAGAAUCUUCCACAAUGGGCGAAAGCCUGAUGGAGCGACGCCGCGUGCGCGAUGAAGCUCUUCGGAGUGUAAAGCGCUUUUAUAGGAGAAAAAUCCCGCAGCAAUGCGGGAUGAUGGUACCCUAAGAAUAAGGGGUUGCUAAACUCGU